GAUGAUGGGAUGUUCGGAUGUUCAGAAAGUGAUGUCACCCAAAUUUUUUUUUCUCCUGACGUCAUCGAUCCAAAAUCAACUAGCCGAAUUCCUCAGUCUGGAAACAACCGCGCAGUAGGGAGGACGUAUGGGAAUCGCGCUCCGUGGAUUUCGAGUACCGGGUUCUCUAUCUCAUGGAUCCUGCGCUCCGGGUCCGCUACCUAGUGAUACUUGACUUUCAGAACAAGUGCUCCGUGGUUUCGGCGCUCCAGGUCCGCUACCUAGUGAAACUAGACUUCCAGGACAAGCGCUCCGUGGUUCCUGCGCUCCAGGUCUACUAUCUGGUGAAACUCGACUUCUGGGCAAGCGUUCCGUAGUUUUUGCACUCAAGAAACGUCAUGUUCUGUACUAUCAAACCAAUGUUAAAACAAUGGUUAGCGAUAGUUGAAGGUGAUCAAGAUGGACGCGGAGGAGGAAGAGGAGGAGGAAAACGAGGAAGACGAGUAAAACAAGGUGGACGAGGAGGAUGAGGAUUUACGCACGGUAUGACCCGAGGUGGUAAUCGGGGGUUGUCGGAGGUGGUUGGCGGUGGUUGGAAGCGGUCGUAGGUGGACGAGGAGGAGGAUGAGGAAGAUAAGGUGAACAAGGUG